AGUGAACGCUGGCGGUAGGCCUAACACAUGCAAGUCGAACGGCAGCACAGUAAGAGCUUGCUCUUACGGGUGGCGAGUGGCGGACGGGUGAGGAAUACAUCGGAAUCUACUUUUUCGUGGGGGAUAACGUAGGGAAACUUACGCUAAUACCGCAUACGACCUACGGGUGAAAGCAGGGGAUCUUCGGACCUUGCGCGAUUGAAUGAGCCGAUGUCGGAUUAGCUAGUUGGCGGGGUAAAGGCCCACCAAGGUGACGAUCCGUAGCUGGUCUGAGAGGAUGAUCAGCCACACUGGAACUGAGGCACGGUCCAGACUCCUACGGGAGGCAGCAGUGGGGAAUAUUGGACAAUGGGCGCAAGCCUGAUCCAGCCAUACCGCGUGGGUGAAGAAGGCCUUCGGGUUGUAAAGCCCUUUUGUUGGGAAAGAAAAGCAGCAGGUUAAUACCCCGCUGUUCUGACGGUACCCAAAGAAUAAGCACCGGCUAACUUCGUG
rnacentral:rRNA from 1 species